rnacentral:rRNA from 1 species
GACGAACGCUGGCGGCGUGCUUAACACAUGCAAGUCGAACGGAAAGGCCCUGCUUUUGUGGGGUGCUCGAGUGGCGAACGGGUGAGUAACACGUGAGUAACCUGCCCUUGACUUUGGGAUAACUUCAGGAAACUGGGGCUAAUACCGGAUAGGAGCUCCUGCUGCAUGGUGGGGGUUGGAAAGUUUCGGCGGUUGGGGAUGGACUCGCGGCUUAUCAGCUUGUUGGUGGGGUAGUGGCUUACCAAGGCUUUGACGGGUAGCCGGCCUGAGAGGGUGACCGGCCACAUUGGGACUGAGAUACGGCCCAGACUCCUACGGGAGGCAGCAGUGUGGGAAUAUUGCACAAUGGGCGGAAGCCUGAUGCAGCAACGCCGCGUGCGGGAUGACGGCCUUCGGGUUGUAAACCGCUUUCGCCUGUGACGAAGCGUGAGUGACGGUAAUGGGUAAAGAAGCACCGGCUAACUACGUG